CCCUUAGAUGUCCUGGGCUGCACGCGCGCUACACUGAUGCGUCCAAUAAGCACCUAACCUCUUCCGAAAGGAACGGGUAACCUUUGCAAAGCACAUCGUGAUGGGGAUAGAUUAUUGCAAUUAUUAGUCUUGAACGAGGAAUUCCUAGUAAGCACAAGUCAUCAGCUUGUGUUGAUUACGUCCCUGCCCUUUGUACACACCGCCCGUCGCUCCUACCGAUUGAAUGUUCCGGUGAGCUCUUCGGACUGCGCGGUCUGCAGUUUCUGCGUUCCGUGCGGAAAGUUGCGCAAACCUUAACAUUUAGAGGAAGGAGAAGUCGUAACA
rnacentral:rRNA from 1 species